rnacentral:rRNA from 1 species
AACGAACGCUGGCGGCAUGCCUAACACAUGCAAGUCGAACGAGACCUUCGGGUCUAGUGGCGCACGGGUGCGUAACGCGUGGGAACCUGCCCUUAGGUUCGGAAUAACUCCCCGAAAGGGGUGCUAAUACCUGAUAAUGUCUUCGGACCAAAGAUUUAUCGCCUUUGGAUGGGCCCGCGUUUGAUUAGCUUGUUGGUAGGGUAAAAGCCUACCAAGGCGACGAUCCAUAGCUGGUCUGAGAGGAUGAUCAGCCACACUGGGACUGAGACACGGCCCAGACUCCUACGGGAGGCAGCAGUGGGGAAUAUUGGAAAAUGGGCGAAAGCAUGAUCCAGCAAUGCCGGGUGAGUGAUGAAGGCCUUAGGGUUGUAAAGCUCUUUUACCCGGGAUGAUAAUGACAGUACCGGGAGAAUAAGCACCGGCUAACUCCGUG